UCAGCAGGUCGCCUUAUCGCUGCCCGCAUAACGCGGGGAGAGGAAAGUCCGGACACCAUAGUGCAGUAUAGCGGGUAAUGCCCGUCCAUCGAGAGAUGAGGACAAGUGCAACAGAAAGUAUGUACAGGUAAGGCUGUAGUGAAACCAGGUAAACUCUAUACGGUGCAACGCCAUGUAAAUCAGUGUCCCGAUAUUUAUCGGGAGAGGGCUGCACGCCCGAGCUGAAGGGUAGGCGGUUAGAGCUUUUGGGCAACCUUUGGCCUAGAUAAAUGAUAGGGAAGCCUCGAAGUAAUUCAAGGUUAACAGAAUCCGGCUUAUGACCUGCUUUUUUU
rnacentral:RNase_P_RNA from 1 species